GACGAAGGAUGCAAGCGUUAUCCGGAUUCAUUGGGUUUAAAGGGUGCGUAGGCGGACUGAUAAGUCAGUGGAUGAAUCGUCUUUGCUUAACAAAGAAACUGCCAUUGAUACUGUCGGUCUAGAGUAUUAGAUGACGUUGGCGGAAUAUGACAUGUAGUGGUGAAAUACUUAGAUAUGUCAUAGAACACCGAUUGCGAAGGCAGCUAACGAAACUAUAACUGACGCUGAGGCACGAAAGUGCGGGGAUCAAACAGG
rnacentral:rRNA from 1 species